UACGUAGGGUGCAAGCGUUGUCCGGAAUUAUUGGGCGUAAAGAGCUCGUAGGCGGUUUGUCGCGUCUGCUGUGAAAACCCGAGGCUCAACCUCGGGCCUGCAGUGGGUACGGGCAGACUAGAGUGCGGUAGGGGAGAUUGGAAUUCCUGGUGUAGCGGUGGAAUGCGCAGAGAUCCGGAGGAAGACCGGUGGCGAAGGCGGCCUGCUGGGCAGUUACUGACACUGAUGCGCGACAGCGUGGAGAGCAAACAGG
rnacentral:rRNA from 1 species